rnacentral:rRNA from 1 species
UACGUAGGGCGCAAGCGUUAUCCGGAAUUAUUGGGCGUAAAGAGCUCGUAGGCGGUUUGUCGCGUCUGCCGUGAAAGUCCGGGGCUCAACUCCGGAUCUGCGGUGGGUACGGGCAGACUAGAGUGAUGUAGGGGAGACUGGAAUUCCUGGUGUAGCGGUGAAAUGCGCAGAUAUCAGGAGGAACACCGAUGGCGAAGGCAGGUCUCUGGGCAUUAACUGACGCUGAGGAGCGAAAGCAUGGGGAGAGAACAGG